UGAACGCUGAACAGUACAAUCAAACCCUAUUUUUUUCCAGAAAAACGGACCAAAUCAAAUGGUGAGUUGGGACAGACAUGUUAUCGGAGGCGAUUCGUAUCAUCAUAGCUGAAGUCGUCGGACUGAUUGCACGGGAGCCGCCGGACUAAUCACAUUGGGUUUGUGCCGGAGCCACCAAGCUGAUCGCAUUGGGUUUGGGGAUAACGAUCUUGUGUUUUAUUUCUUGAGAAAAUGGAUUGUUAGCUGCCGCUUGGAGAGAAAAACAGAAACGACGUCAUGUGCCUUAAGAGUUCAAUAGUUGGGGAUUUGAUUUAAUUUCAGCCAUUGGAUGAGCUCAUUAAUGCAGUGGCACCUUGGCAGAUGGAUGGAGAGAGUUCUGUGGAGAGGAUCUGAAUCCCCCAAAUAAGCCCCAAGUCUUUUCCUCUUCUGUCACUGGUGUAUCACUUCCAUUGCUGCUCUAAACAUCGGUUUCUCCUCCAGGCCACACCAAACAUCGGUUUCUACUUCACGCCAGUUCAGAGAUAGACAAAAUGCCCAAAGGAAGAAAACUGAGGCUCCAACCAGGUUUUUUGGCAAAUCAAGUCAUGCCAGAUUAUGAGAGAGAAAGAAAUGAGACAAUAGAUACUAUUUUCUUUUGGGGUGAAGGGUAUUGCAACUUCUUUGUGGGGUUCGGUUCAGCACAAGCGUGCAAAUGCGAAUGGAAAGCGUAGUACGGUUGAGUUGGAUGAUGAUGACUAUACACCUUCAUAUGAUGAGGAUGACCAGACUAUGACAGUGAUAUUGAUCUCUCUCCCCCACAGCGAUGCAGAAACAUGAAAAAGAAACUAUACCGCACUUUGGACAUGGAGGUUGGUCCUCAGCCUAAUAAAUCACAGAAUGUUUCACGAGAUACUCCAUCACGCAUCAAUUCACAGCAUGCCCAUCAACACAGUGCUUCACAGCCUACCCACUCACAUAGUGCUUCACACCCUUCCCAACAACAUGGUGCUUCACACCCUUCGCUAUCACAUGGAUCUUCACAGCCUGCACCUCCUCCUGCUAGUGCUUCCCAGUCUUACCAGGCCCAUAGUACUUAAUGACCUCAGCCACAGCCCGCUCAACAACAGACCGUGCAGCCACAAUGUGCUCAAUCACAGCCCAUUCAGCCACAUCCCGCUCAACCACAGCCCAUUUAGCCACAAGAUGAGGACACUUUGAGUGAGCAGAUAAUAUAGAUGGCGAGUUAUUCGAUGAAGUUGAAGUUGGAAUAAGAGGGAUCCCCUCAAUGGCGGAAUAUGUAAAUUGUAUUGAAGAAUUGUAGCCAAGUGUCCGGGAAUGGGAUGAAACCCAUAUUAAUCAAGUAGUUGCAGACGGAGGCAUUCAAUUUGAUCUCUUUGACAGACUCCACAAACCGCAACUUCUUGAUUUAUUGAAGAAGUACGUGAAUGCGGAGCUUCCCAGGGACAAUGGACUGGCGCCGUAUCAAAUGUUUAGGUGUUGGCCACGAUUACUUUUUGGGAUAAGAAGUUGGGUGGUAAAAAGAAUGUGGGAGGAGAAUGCAUCUAGAGUUAUGGUUGCAACGGGCAUGCAGUUCUCAAUGCUAGGGAAGACUAUUCGUCAUUGUUCAUUUUGUUCCUUCUGUUGGUAGUCGGAGUUGCUGCCUUUUGUGUUUGGUAAGGUUAGAAUACUAACUAGUGCUUUUGCGAUCUUGUAAUUUGUUGUGGGGCAUAAAUUUGGGUAUGUAUUGACGGUGUAUGAUAUAUUUAAUCACACAUUAGUGUUGGUAAAUUAUGGUUUUUUAUUUUUAACCUCUAGCUAACAUUUCUGAUUUC